UCAUUAACUGAAUCCAUAGGUUAAUGAGGCGAACCGGGGGAACUGAAACAUCUAAGUACCCCGAGGAAAAGAAAUCAACCGAGAUUCCCCCAGUAGCGGCGAGCGAACGGGGAGCAGCCCAGAGCCUGAAUCAGUGUGUGUGUUAGUGGAAGCGUCUGGAAAGGCGCGCGAUACAGGGUGACAGCCCCGUACACAAAAAUGCACAUACUGUGAGCUCGAUGAGUAGGGCGGGACACGUGGUAUCCUGUCUGAAUAUGGGGGGACCAUCCUCCAAGGCUAAAUACUCCUGACUGACCGAUAGUGAACCAGUACCGUGAGGGAAAGGCGAAAAGAACCCCGGCGAGGGGAGUGAAAAAGAACCUGAAACCGUGUACGUACAAGCAGUGGGAGCACGCUUAGGCGUGUGACUGCGUACCUUUUGUAUAAUGGGUCAGCGACUUAUAUUCUGUAGCAAGGUUAACCGAAUAGGGGAGCCGAAGGGAAACCGAGUCUUAACUGGGCGUUAAGUUGCAGGGUAUAGACCCGAAACCCGGUGAUCUAGCCAUGGGCAGGUUGAAGGUUGGGUAACACUAACUGGAGGACCGAACCGACUAAUGUUGAAAAAUUAGCGGAUGACUUGUGGCUGGGGGUGAAAGGCCAAUCAAACCGGGAGAUAGCUGGUUCUCCCCGAAAGCUAUUUAGGUAGCGCCUCGUGAAUUCAUCUCCGGGGGUAGAGCACUGUUUCGGCAAGGGGGUCAUCCCGACUUACCAACCCGAUGCAAACUGCGAAUACCGGAGAAUGUUAUCACGGGAGACACACGGCGGGUGCUAACGUCCGUCGUGAAGAGGGAAACAACCCAGACCGCCAGCUAAGGUCCCAAAGUCAUGGUUAAGUGGGAAACGAUGUGGGAAGGCCCAGACAGCCAGGAUGUUGGCUUAGAAGCAGCCAUCAUUUAAAGAAAGCGUAAUAGCUCACUGGUCGAGUCGGCCUGCGCGGAAGAUGUAACGGGGCUAAACCAUG
rnacentral:rRNA from 1 species